rnacentral:rRNA from 1 species
AUUGUAAACUCGAGAAGUGUUAUCCGCGCCGGACCAGGUUCAAGUCCCUUGGAAUAGGGCAUCAUAGAGGGUGAAAGUCCCGUGCUUGAUCUGGAACCCCCSGGGCUUUGUGAUGCGCUCUCAAAGAGUCGAGUUGUUUGGGAAUGCAGCUCAAAAUGGGUGGUAAAUGCCAUCUAAGGCUAAAUAUCGAGGAGAGACCGAUAGCGAACAAGUACCGUGAGGGAAAGAUGAAAAGAAACUCUGAAAAGAGAGUUAAACAGUACGUGAAAUUGCCGGAAGGGAAGGGUAGGAAGUCAGACAUGCCUUUGCAGAUUCAGCCUUGUCUUUGGACUUGGUGCAUUUUUGUAAUGGCAGGCCAGCGUCGGUUUGUGCCGCCAGAUAUAGGUUUGGGGAAUGUGGCUUUGCCUUUGGGCAAAGUGUUAUAGCCCUUUACUGAGUAUGGCGGUGUGGACCGAGGAACGCAGCGCACCCAUUAGGRCGGGCCUUCGG